ACUCAAAGGAAUUGACGGGGACCCGCACAAGCGGUGGAGCGUGUUGUUUAAUUCGAUGGUAAGCGAAGAACCUUACCCAGGCUUGACAUCCUGUGAAGGUCUCCGAAAGGAGACUGUGCCUUCGGGAAUACAGUGACAGGUGAUGCAUGGCCGUCGUCAGCUCGUGUCGUGAGAUGUUAGGUUAAGUCCUUCAACGAGCGCAACCCUUAUAGUUAGUUGUAUUUUUCUAGCUAGACUGCCCUGGUAACAGGGAGGAAGGGGGGGAUGAUGUCAGGUCAGUAUUUCCCUUACGUCUGGGGCUACAAACACGCUACAAUGGCCGGUACAAAGGGCAGCCAAGUCGCGAGACGGAGCAAACCCCAUCAAAGCCGGUCCAAGUUCGGAUAGCAGGCUGAAACUCGCCUGCUUGAAGCUGGAAUCGCUAGUAACGGUAAGUCAGCACAUUACCGUGAAUACGUUCCCGGGUCUUGUACACACCGCCCGU
rnacentral:rRNA from 1 species